GACAGAGGGUGCAAACGUUUGUUCGGAAUUACUGGGCGUAAAGCGAGUGUAGGCGGUGUGGUAAGUCGGAUGUGAAAGCCCCGGGCUCAACCCGGGAAGUGCACUCGAUACUGCCACGCUAGAGUAUCGGAGAGGUUGGUGGAAUUCUCGGUGUAGAGGUGAAAUUCGUAGAUAUCGAGAGGAACACCGGUGGCGAAGGCGGCCAACUGGACGAAUACUGACGCUGAGACUCGAAAGCGUGGGGAGCAAACAGG
rnacentral:rRNA from 1 species